rnacentral:rRNA from 1 species
GAGCGGCGGACGGGUUAGUAACGCGUGGGAACAUACCCUUUUCUACGGAAUAGCCUCGGGAAACUGAGAGUAAUACCGUAUAAGCCCUUCGGGGGAAAGAUUUAUCGGGAAAGGAUUGGCCCGCGUUAGAUUAGAUAGUUGGUGGGGUAAUGGCCUACCAAGUCUACGAUCUAUAGCUGGUUUUAGAGGAUGAUCAGCAACACUGGGACUGAGACACGGCCCAGACUCCUACGGGAGGCAGCAGUGGGGAAUCUUAGACAAUGGGCGCAAGCCUGAUCUAGCCAUGCCGCGUGUGUGAUGAAGGUCUUAGGAUCGUAAAGCACUUUCGCCAGGGAUGAUAACGACAGUACCUGGUAAAGAAACCCCGGCUAACUCCGUGCCAGCAGCCGCGGUAAUACGGAGGGGGUUAGCGUUGUUCGGAAUUACUGGGCGUAAAGCGUACGUAGGCGGAUCAGAAAGUAUGGGGUGAAAUCCCAGGGCUCAACCCUGGAACUGCCUCAUAAACUCCUGGUCUUGAGUUCGAGAGAGGUGAGUGGAAUUCCAAGUGUAGAGGUGAAAUUCGUAGAUAUUUGGAGGAACACCAGUGGCGAAGGCGGCUCACUGGCUCGAUACUGACGCUGAGGUACGAAAGUGUGGGGAGCAAACAGGAU